GUCUCUUUUUGUUCUCCUUGGGUUAUUACUAUUAUGUAUCAUUAAAUUGUUCCAGGCCUUAUGUACUACAAUUUUAUUGCUCGCAAUUGUUCCUUUACCUGAAUUGUUCUUCUUCCACAUUAUUCUCAUUUGUAAGGUCUCGCUUAUGGUAUGAAUCCUAACGAGGAAAAAAAGGCUAGAUUUUUGCACAGGAAAAAAGGCUACAAGAGUCAUGCUUCAAUAAGGCUAUGAGGGAUUUUUGGAAAACUAGCCAGGACUAAUACUCCAAACAAAUAAGUUUUAAGGUGAUUAGAGUUGGGAGUAAAAAGUUAUAUGUUAUGUUGACAAGAAUAACGUAUCUCUCUCUUUCAUUCAUAAUUGAGCAAAAUAGAGAAGCUAAUGACUCCAGGUAUAUUCAUUUACUAAAGAUAACUUCAAAAGUUUUCCGUGUGUAAUUGUGAUGGAUACAUUAGUUUUCAAUUAUACUCGAUAGUUAGACUAAAAUCAGUUGUAAAAAUAUAGUAUGUUUGCAUGAAAUGUUAAUUCAUGCGUGAUUCUGAUGAUUCAGUUUGGUGGAUAUAUAUUGUGAUAGCUUAAAACUUAAUUAAUUAUUUAAUGUGUGUUUCUUCAUUUCUUCAUUCUUUACAAUUUAGAUAAUCAUGAUUUAUUAACGAAGAAGCGCACUAACAGAAACAUAGAAAAAAUAUCUUAGAUCGAUAACAUUCUGUGGAAAUACCAUUUUCAAAUUACUAUUAUUUUCCUUCUUUAAUUGGCCUCAACCUAAUCAGAAUUAAUCUUUCUGCUUCUCAAGAACGGAUUAACUCGCUCCAAGGUUCAAGCUGGCUAAUGGACCACUAAAUUGUGAAUUUCCAUAAAAAAAAAAUUGGAUUGAAAAGUAUGCCGACUAUGAGAGUAUAAAUUAUACUGGUUCUAUUUCAAAUUUCAACAGAUAUUUGUUUCCCGAGUUUAGUAACUACUGAAAACAUAUAAAUUUAGGGACAAAGCGGUGCACCCUUCUUGUGAAUAGUAUGAAUGUGUUUUGAAUGACGCAAUGCUAUUAAGAUUUCUGAUCAUGCGAACAUGGCAUCUUUCUCUUCUCUUGGAACUUUGAGUUGGAUAUUGUUAGUUCCACAGGAAAUUAUAGCACGAGGAGAUGGAAGUAUCUGCUAUCAUGAAACUUUACUUUACUGUCUUGUAGCUCAUGAUAUAAUGGGAAGUUCAAUUCCGGCCACAACAAUGCCAAAAUUAUGUCCAAUCAAUAUAUAUAUAUAUAUGACCGGCCAUGCAGUGGAUGCUGCUCCUCUUCCUAUGGAUAGUUACCGUGGUGAGAAGGCGGGAAAUUGUGAUUGUUAUUGAAUUUUGAACCAACAAGACAGCGAAACUAAAAUGGCUCAGAGAAGGAAAUGGUGAUUGAAACAAAAAUCCUCAAAGCUUUCAUUAGUAGAGAAAAUACUAUAUAUGUGUUGAAUAGUUAUGUUUUUCAUAGUCAUUUACAAGUGUUUUCAUAAAUUUGAAUAGUAUAAUAUGUAUGUUACAUUACGUUUCACAUAAUAUUUCUCUUUAUAUGAUAAAAGAGUGUAUCUACAAAACUUCUAUUUUGAAAGGUUGAACGAUGUUAUUUGCUU